GCUCGCGAAGUGUAGUGGUGAUCAUUGUGGACUUUGAACCCCCCAACCCGAGGUCGAGGCUCGGCGCGAGCU